rnacentral:misc_RNA from 1 species
UCAUUGUCCCUUUGAGCAGUUCUGUCC